UGGGGAAUAUUGGACAAUGGGCGAAAGCCUGAUCCAGCAAUGCCGCGUGAGUGAUGAAGGCCUUAGGGUUGUAAAGCUCUUUUACCCGGGAUGAUAAUGACAGUACCGGGAGAAUAAGCUCCGGCUAACUCCGUGCCAGCAGCCGCGGUAAUACGGAGGGAGCUAGCGUUGUUCGGAAAUACUGGGCGUAAAGCGCACGUAGGCGGCGCAGCAAGUCAGGGGUGAAAUCCCGGGGCUCAACCCCGCAAGCAUCGCCUUGCAAUACUGCAGUGCUAGAAUUCUGGAGAGGCGAGUGGAAUUCCGAGUGUAGAGGUGAAAUUCGUAGAUAUUCGGAAGAACCCCAGUGCGAGGACGACUCGCUGGACAGACAUUGACGCUGAGGUGCGAAAGCGUGGGGAGCAAAACA
rnacentral:rRNA from 1 species